AGGAGUGUAGCUCAGCUGGUAGAGCAUCGGUCUCCAAAACCGAGGGUCGUGGGUUCGAGUCCCUCCACUCCUGCCA
rnacentral:tRNA from 27 species